rnacentral:rRNA from 2 species
UGGGGGAUAUUGCACAAUGGGCGAAAGCCUGAUGCAGCGACGCCGCGUGGGGGAUGAAGGCUUUCGGGUUGUAAACCUCUUUCGCUAUCGAACAAGGCCCGCUUAGGGUGGGUUGAGGGUAGGUGGAGAAGAAGCGCCGGCUAACUACGUGCCAGCAGCCGCGGUAAUACGUAGGGCGCGAGCGUUGUCCGGAAUUAUUGGGCGUAAAGGGCUUGUAUGCGGCUUGUUGCGCCUGCUGUGAAAACGCGGGGCUUAACUUCGCGCGUGCAGUGGGUACGGGCAGGCUUGAGUGUGGUAGGGGUGACUGGAAUUCCAGGUGUAGCGGUGGAAUGCGCAGAUAUCUGGAGGAACACCGAUGGCGAAGGCAGGUCACUGGGCCAUUACUGACGCUGAGGAGCGAAAGCAUGGGUAGCGAACAGG